rnacentral:rRNA from 1 species
UAUCUCUGUAGAGUCUGCAUAUCAAUAAGCGGAGGAAAAGAAACUAACAAGGAUUCCCUUAGUAACGGCGAGUGAAGCGGGAAGAGCUCAAAUUUGAAAUCUUCAAGGUUCUACCUUGACGAAUUGUAGUUUAAAGAAGUGUUUUCUGUUAGAUGAGUAGCAAAAGUUCCUUGGAAUGGGACAUCAUAGAGGGUGAGAAUCCCGUAUUUGGUUAUUCAUUCUAGCUUUGUGAUACACUUUCAAAGAGUCGGAUUGUUUGGGAAUGCAGUCCAAAAUGGGUGGUAAAUUUCAUCUAAAGCUAAAUAUUGGCGAGAGACCGAUAGCGAACAAGUACCGUGAGGGGAAGAUGAAAAGAACUUUGAAAAGAGAGUUAAACAGUACGUGAAAUUGUCAAAAGGGAAGCGUUUGACACCAGUGUUGUUUUUCCGAAAAUCAAUUACGAAUGGCUUGAUUUUGUGUUGUAUUGACCUUAUCAGCUUUCUUCACUUUUUUCGAGUCUUUCUUAAUGCACUUUUCGGUUAACAAGUCAACAUCAAUUUCUUUUGUUGUAAAAGAGUAUUCGGAAGGUGGCUUUCUUUUCGGAGAAAGUGUUUAUAGCCCUAUACUUCUACAAUCGGAGAGAUUGAGGUCUGCAGCGUAGAUCCUUCGGGGUUAGAUACACUUGUGCUAAGUUGUAGCUUUUCAUAGACAACUUGUUGACUAUGUUUAGUCAUGCGGCUUACUCGCUUGUGCUAUUUUACCUACGCUUAGGAUGUUGACUGAUAUGUAGUCGUA